UCCAGUCUGGCCUUGAACUCACU
rnacentral:piRNA from 1 species